rnacentral:rRNA from 1 species
UCAGGAUGAACGCUAGCUACAGGCUUAACACAUGCAAGUCGAGGGGCAGCAUGGUCUUAGCUUGCUAAGGCCGAUGGCGACCGGCGCACGGGUGAGUAACACGUAUCCAACCUGCCGUCUACUCUUGGACAGCCUUCUGAAAGGAAGAUUAAUACAAGAUGGCAUCAUGAGUCCGCAUGUUCACAUGAUUAAAGGUAUUCCGGUAGACGAUGGGGAUGCGUUCCAUUAGAUAGUAGGCGGGGUAACGGCCCACCUAGUCUUCGAUGGAUAGGGGUUCUGAGAGGAAGGUCCCCCACAUUGGAACUGAGACACGGUCCAAACUCCUACGGGAGGCAGCAGUGAGGAAUAUUGGUCAAUGGGCGAGAGCCUGAACCAGCCAAGUAGCGUGAAGGAUGACUGCCCUAUGGGUUGUAAACUUCUUUUAUAAAGGAAUAAAGUCGGGUAUGCAUACCCGUUUGCAUGUACUUUAUGAAUAAGGAUCGGCUAACUCCGUGCCAGCAGCCGCGGUAAUACGGAGGAUCCGAGCGUUAUCCGGAUUUAUUGGGUUUAAAGGGAGCGUAGAUGGAUGUUUAAGUCAGUUGUGAAAGUUUGCGGCUCAACCGUAAAAUUGCAGUUGAUACUGGAUAUCUUGAGUGCAGUUGAGGCAGGCGGAAUUCGUGGUGUAGCGGUGAAAUGCUUAGAUAUCACGAAGAACUCCGAUUGCGAAGGCAGCCUGCUAAGCUGCAACUGACAUUGAGGCUCGAAAGUGUGGGUAUCAAACAGGAUUAGAUACCCUGGUAGUCCACACGGUAAACGAUGAAUACUCGCUGUUUGCGAUAUACUGCAAGCGGCCAAGCGAAAGCGUUAAGUAUUCCACCUGGGGAGUACGCCGGCAACGGUGAAACUCAAAGGAAUUGACGGGGGCCCGCACAAGCGGAGGAACAUGUGGUUUAAUUCGAUGAUACGCGAGGAACCUUACCCGGGCUUAAAUUGCAGAUGAAUUACGGUGAAAGCCGUAAGCCGCAAGGCAUCUGUGAAGGUGCUGCAUGGUUGUCGUCAGCUCGUGCCGUGAGGUGUCGGCUUAAGUGCCAUAACGAGCGCAACCCUUGUUGUCAGUUACUAACAGGUUCCGCUGAGGACUCUGACAAGACUGCCAUCGUAAGAUGUGAGGAAGGUGGGGAUGACGUCAAAUCAGCACGGCCCUUACGUCCGGGGCUACACACGUGUUACAAUGGGGGGUACAGAGGGCCGCUACCACGCGAGUGGAUGCCAAUCCCCAAAACCUCUCUCAGUUCGGACUGGAGUCUGCAACCCGACUCCACGAAGCUGGAUUCGCUAGUAAUCGUGCAUCAGCCACGGCGCGGUGAAUACGUUCCCGGGCCUUGUACACACCGCCCGUCAAGCCAUGGGAGCCGGGGGUACCUGAAGUGCGUAACCGCGAGGAGCGCCCUAGGGUAAAACUGGUGA